CUGACCAUGUCCACCAUGGCCUGGUGCCCUCUUCUCCUCACCCUCGUCGCUCUCUGCACAGGAUCCUGGGCCCAGGCUGUGCUGACUCAGCCGUCCUCUGUGUCCGGGUCCCCGGGCCAGAGGGUCAGCAUCACCUGCUCUGGAAGCAGCAGCAACGUUGGUUAUGGUAAUUAUGUGAACUGGUACCAACAGCUCCCAGGAUCGGCCCCCAGAACCCUCAUCUAUGGUGCAACCAGGCGAGCCUCGGGGGUCCCCGACCGAUUCUCCGGCUCCAGGUCUGGGAACACAGCCACGCUGACCAUCAGUUCGCUCCAGGCUGAGGACGAGGGCGAUUAUUACUGUGCAGCUGUUGACAGUAGCAGAGGGAGUAGGGUUCUCUGAAGCAGGCCA